rnacentral:misc_RNA from 1 species
AAGAGUUGUAAAACUCCCAAAACCAUUGUGAACCUUACCUAUACCGUUGCUUCGGCGGGCGGCAUUACGCCCUAACCUGCUCUUCAUCAGGGGAGCAGACCCGCCGGAAGCACCUAAAACUCUUGAUUUUAGUUGGCCUCUCUGAGUUAACUUUUAAAUAAGUCA